AAGAUGUCCUGGACAGGGAGCCUGAUGCAGUGGCCCCAUGGUUUACAACACACCCAACAGGAAUCCAGGGGUGAUUGUGACAAGGGGCAUAAGCCGGUGGCCUUACUGUGGACAAACAUACCCUACAUGU